rnacentral:tRNA from 1 species
GGGCCUGUAGCUCAGUUGGUUAGAGCAACGGACUCAUAAUCCGUCGGCCGGGGGUUCAAGUCCCUCCGGGCCCACAA